GAAGGUAUAGCUCAAGUGGUAGAACACAUGCUUAGCAUGCAUGAGGUCCUGGGUUCAAUCCCCAGUAACUCCU
rnacentral:tRNA from 1 species